ACUCUAGUGGCAAAACUGCUGGCUAGUGUACCUGUUCUGCCAAAAGUAAAAUGGGCUUACUGAGGAAAUUAAAUUUAUGUUCAAGUGCUAUUUCUUUAUGCACCGGGGAACAAGCAUUUCUAACAACCUGGUCCUACGUGGCUGAAACUGGAUCCCAGAAGCCCCGUCCUUCCCGAAGCUCGUAGCGGAAGUGACAUCAGCCCGCCGCCACUAUCUUUUCCCGCGCUGGCUGCCCACGGUCAGUGCUGUUUCACCUUUAUCUUGGUGGAGUCGACCCCGGCUGUGGAAAAGGAUUUCUGCCAUUCUGGUAAGGUUGGCUCUGGCCCCGCAUCCUCCCGCGUCAGGAACCUGGCGAUUCCGGAGUGUUCUUGGACUUCAAAUAACCCUGUACAAAGAGGAAUGGAGAUUGCCUCUAUUCACCUAGAUUCAUAAGUUGCCCUGAGGCAAUCUUGGCAUCAAGGAAGAGAGCAUUGAGGCACAACUGACCAUCAGCUUCAGAGAAUGGCAGUCACUGAUUUGUCCCAUGGGUUUUUUCCCAGGGAACCAAUCUGCCCUUUUGAAGAAAAGACAAAGAUAGGAACGAUGGU
rnacentral:lncRNA from 10 species